AGCGAACGCUAGCGGCGUGCCUAACACAUGCAAGUCUAGCGAGAAAAGCGACUUCGGUCGCCAAGUAAAGCGGCGCACGGGUGAGUAACGCGUGGGUAAUCUGCCCUUAAAUCUGGAAUAACCUGCCGAAAGGCGAGCUAAUGCCGGAUAAGACCACGAAGCACCUGCUUCGCGGUCAAAGGUGGGGAUCCUUCGGGACCUACCGUUUAAGGAUGAGCCCGCGUCCCAUCAGCUUGUUGGUAGGGUAACGGCCUACCAAGGCGAAGACGGGUAGCUGGUCUGAGAGGAUGAUCAGCCACACUGGCACUGACACACGGGCCAGACUCCUACGGGAGGCAGCAGUGGGGAAUAUUGCGCAAUGGGCGAAAGCCUGACGCAGCAACGCCGCGUGGGCGAUGAAGGUCUUCGGAUUGUAAAGCCCUUUUCUGAGGGAAGAGGAAGGACGGUACCUCAGGAAUAAGCCUCGGCUAACUACGUG
rnacentral:rRNA from 1 species